AACAGUUCCCACCUAUUUCCAGUCUUUGCAAAACUAGGCUAACAGUUCUAACCUGUUUCCAGUCUCUGUGCUAAGCUAACCGUUCCCACCUGUUUCCAGUCUUUGCGAAACUAGGCUAACAGUUCUAACCUGUUUCCAGUCUUUGUGCUGAGCUAGGCUAACAGUUCCACCUGUUUCCAGUUUGUGCGGUAAGCUAGGCUAACAGUUCCACCUUUUUCCAGUCUUUGCUAAACUAGGCUAACAGUUCUAACUGUUUCCAGUCUUUGUGCUAAACUAGGCUAACAGUUCUAACCUGUUUCCAGUCUUUGUGGUAAGCUAAGCUACCUUGGAGACUAUUUGUCUGUGAGUAAAACGUGUACAUAAGCACAAAUAGAAAUGUCAUGUUAGAAGUUUCUGUUAUAAUUUGUCAAGUAGUUGAAAUAUGUCAUACAGUGUUGUUAGAAAGCCCUCAUAUUUUGAUCAUGAUGUUGUAUGGGUUGCGUUAUAGUUGUAUUUCCUCCCUUGUUGAGCUAAUCGGAUGUUUGUGUUUUUUUACGUAAUGUCCUUGAACGCACCUCGAGUGUGACGUAGCUUUUCUCCAUCGUUGCAGCACAGUUGUUAGCUAGUUCUAUCCUGUGCACAUGUCUGAACUGGAUGCAUGUUGCAUUUUUUCUUCCUUAACCUGCUGUGUGUAAAUGAUGAAGAACCACAGCUAGCCACAGUUAUCCACGAGUAGCCACAGUUGUCUACAGUGCAGCACAGAGUUAUCUGCAACAACAGUAAACAUCAUUAACCUGGAAAGUCUGGCUGCCGUGUUCUUUAACGGGGACACCUUCAUACCUUGUGCCACUCUGAAAAUACCUACCUGGAGAACCCUCACUCGCGGUUAGAGGGUUAGAGUUGGAGUUAUAUGUCGGUGAACGGUUUCUGUUGGGUUUGCUCAAAGUCGGGCCAGUGGACGGCAUUUGCAGAGACUAUGCGCCUGGGAAGAGCUUCAGCUUUCAGAUCAGAGGUGACCCGGGUGCAAAAGUCAGCCUGGUGGCUGUGGACAACGCUGUGUAUCUUCUCAACAAGGACAGACUCACACAGAGGAAGCCGUGCAGUGUCCAGGCAGUACCAGAAGGAGACGCUCUGCUGAACUGUUGAAGCGUAAAGCUCAGCUGGUUGCCUGCUAAUCUUGAUUUGGAAGUAGAGGCUCGAGGAAAUGGACAAGGAAUACUAGAGCACAGGGAAAGACGACCACGGGUUGUGACCUAUUACAAUCAGCUGCAUGAGGUGGAAGAGAAAAUGCCCUGCAAGCACUUUGAUCUCAACGUCACUUUUGAAGGAUCCAGCGGUAGAUCAAAUUCUCACACUAUAUCACAUAUUUUACACGACGUCCUUCAGACGGGUGACAAAUUAAAGCAAAUGCACUUUAACAAAAAAAAAAACAACAAAGCAUUCUGACUGCUGACCUGAGUGAAUUUAGUAAAUUGAAUUUAUAAAACACUCGCAUACAAUCUCUUAAAAUACAUACGUUUUGCAUACAUCACAAUGCAAGGACUGUGUGUGCUCAUCUUCAGGGACUUUUUGUUCGUAUUAUUUUUGUUAUGUGUGUGUCCAGCUGUGCAAUUCAGUGCAUCGUUACAUCAGUAACUUCCAGAUUGUAGACAACCUGAGUGACAGAGGCUCCCUGAUCAUUCACCUGUUCAAAGUAACAUCACCGUAUUUAUAAUUAUUAUUCUAUAUCAUAUCAUUUUAUGUUAUUCAUAUGCUUUUCUUUUUUUCCAAGAAGUAGGUUUCUCAAUGCUCAGUAAAUAAGUCAUUAUGACCACAGUCAACAAUCUGAGGCAGUUUUAGGCUAUUACACAAAACCAGCUUAUUGGUACCAAAGCCACGGUUCAGAACUCAGACUUGCUAAAUCAGUGUUGGUGUCGUGCAGUGUAGGGCUGCAGCCAGAGUACUGACGAUAGUUAGCAAGAGAGAUCAUAUUUCUCCUAUGCUGGUUUCUCUUCAUUGGCUUCCUGUGAAAUGUAGAAUAGAAUUCAAAAUCCUUCUUCUGACAUAUAAAGCUCUUAACAACCAAUCUCCAUCAUAUCUUAAAGACCUGAUAGUACCAUAUUAUCCUAGCAGAACUCUUCGCUCUCAGACUGCAGGCUUACUUGGAGAAGUGACCUGUAACUUCUCUCUAAAAGUAGAAUGGGAGGCAGAGCCUUCAGUUAUCAGCUCCUCUCCUGUGGAACCAGCUCCCAGUUUGGGUUCCGGAGGCGGACACCCUCUCUAAUUUUAAGACCAGGCUUAAAACCUUCCUUUUUGACAAAUCUUAUCGUUAGGACUGACUGGGGGACCCUGAGGGGGUCAGCUGGAGUCUUCCUCUUGGACGUCCCUUAGUUCUGCUGCUAUAGGCCUAGGCUGCUGGAGGACCUCUCUGGAUGCACUGAGCCCUUCUCUAUCUAGCAUUAUAUACAAUGGUAUACCAUAAAUAUAUAUACCAUUAUUGCAUUACACUCACUCUGUUUCUCCCUGUGUCCUUUCGCCGAGUGUCCCUGAUCCCAGAGCUGGAUGCUUCAGAUCUGUGGUGGUUCUCCCACCAACUGGCCUAAUCUCCAUCUGUGGGAUGCUGCUGCUGCUGACCUUCCUCCAGCCCACUGCUUCCAGCUGCCCAUUUCCAUCAAUCUACUCUGCAUCACCCUCACUAUACUUGAUUUGCUCGUCUACAUAUUUUUGAAUUUACCACCAGCUAUAUAUGUAGUAUAUUUAAUGCCAGAGCCAUACACCAUAGCAGUAAACUAUAAUCAGUUUCCAGCCCAGAGGGAUAUAUGCGCAGAUUUUUUUAAAUACCAUGUAGAAGACUAUAUACAGGAAGAUGAGGUAUCAGUUCUUGCACAUAGAUAUACAACGGUCCUUUAUUACUCCCCAGGUCAGGGGAAAUUUCCAGUGUUAGAGCAGCAAAAAUCUUUCAGAGCAGCACUAACUACAGUUUACUACAGUAAAGAUAAUAAUUAUAAUAACAAUGAUAUAUAUAUAUACAAGAAUGAAAAAUGAAUAAAUACCGUAUUACUACACUAUAAGUGACAUCAGCAUAAAGUGGCUUGUGGAAUACAUGUAAUUGUAAAAGUGCAGAAAAUGAUUUUCUCAAAACAGGUGAGUCCUGUGAAUAUGACCAAAAUAUGAGAUAAAACUACCAGAAACAUGUACAAAACGACCAAAAUAUGAUUGGUUGAUAAUGUAUCAGUGUUGUUAUUGAUUAUUGAUCGGUUGCAGGGACAGAGAUUUGUGUCUUGAGUCUCUGCUGUCAUCUAAUCUCUCUCAUGUAAGAUCAUGUCACAGGAGGGGGCGCUACUGACCUCUUGUGGACACAGGCGGUAACGACACGACAUUAUUACUAACUGUAUAGCUGGCGACAUUACAGGUGAGCAGCACUUCCUGUUCAUCUUCAACGUAAAAGCAUCUUUCUUUAGUGUACAUUUUAUGUCAAACGUAUUACUAAGCGAUUUUGGUCGAUUCAGAAGGAUCUCCGGUGUAAACCAAGUCGUAUUUGACGACAGCUAGCUUCUCCACUUGCUCCGAUUACUUUUGUUGUAGUCUGAGUCACGUCCAAACAGGAAAUGAAUCCAUAAUGUAGCUAAUGACAAUCGAUAGCUGCGUCUGUGAUGGCAGCGUUAGCGAGCUAGCAGCUAAUCAGAAGCUAGCGACAAGCUAACUCCAGCGCUACCAGCAGCGUCUCUUUAAAAGAUGCUGAUCACGAUAUCGGGCUGAAACAUUAGACCCGGGACAGGAAACGGAGCUAGAGCUCUGUGUCUUGGAGAGAAUUGAUUUUAGAACUACGUGUGUUAAGGUAUUAGUCCGUGUCAUAACAAACCCUCGUUAGCACUUCCGCCAGCUCGGCUAACACUUCCGGUCACGAAUGCAUUUGUACAUUACCUAUAACGUGUUCAUUUCUGAACGUAUAGUGACAACAAACACAAUUUGAGGGAGUCGACAAGCUAGUGGUCCUUAAAUACAUUUUGGUUCAUACUGCAGAUUCUUCUGAGUGUCACAAAACCACGUUUUAGCCUAAGAGCAUUACGAUAGUUUUACGUUGAAACAGGAAGUGCUGCUCCUCUGUAAUGUCGCCAGCUUUGCCUCAAAUAAUAAUUAGUGUCGUUACCGCCUGUGUCCGCCAGAGGGGCAGUAGCGCCCCCUGCUCUGAUAAGGAUAAACUUUAUUGAUCCCACAGUGGAUAAAGUUCACCGAGCUGCUUCACUGAGGAGAGUUUUUUAGUUUUCAGAUAAUAUGAUGGCGAAGAAAAUGUGUUACUGCAGUAAAGAUUCCACUGAAUUAUUAUUUGAUCCAUGAUCGAGAGCACUCAGUUCUUCUCCAGUUUGUUGCUGCGGUCCGGUGAACAGGUGAGCUCCAGGUGAACAGGUGAUGUCAGCAGCAGGUCAGUCUGUGAUUGGAGCAGUAAAACUCAUCUACAUUAAAUUAAAUGUUAUGCUAAUGUAGAUGCACUCAUGUGAUAUAAACUGUGAAGUCCACUCUAAACUGUAUUAAGGCUUAGAGCCAGGAUUUUUAAGUUUUGUAUCUCUGUGUUCCCCCCGCUGACCUGAGCAGUUGGUACGUUCCACUCAGACACACCUGACGGGAUCAAACCACCGACACACAUGCCACACAGCUCCACUUUAUUUAACCUUCAAAAACCUAGUUUUAUUGAUCUUUUCAUGGUUUCUUCAUCUUUGAAUGAAUAUUUUUGGCACUAAGUGUGAACUUUUUGAACGGACUCUGCUCGUCAGAUGGAGGAACGUCGGGGAGUUUGUUGGAAGAUUCAGGUGAGAGGAAACAGAAGUAGGAUGUUAGACAGGACUGAUCUGCUGUCCUAUCCUAUACAUUGUAGUGUUAACAAAAUCAUUGGAGCCUUCAAUUGUCUCCUGCUGGUCAUACUACAACUCUUGGUUUGACACUAAAUGCAAAAUCUGAAUUUUAAGAAAUUUUUAUUAUUUUAUUAUUAUUAGUCAUAAAAUUCAAUAACUUCACUCUUACACACUGUAGCGUCAUCAAAUUCGCUGGAGCCAUCAGUUGGCUCCUGAUUAUCAUACUACAACUCUUGGUUUGACAUUAAGUAAAAAAUCUGAAUUUUAAGGAAUUUUUGUAGUAAAUAAAAUUCACUUACUUUACUCUUAAACACUGCAGAAAAAACAAACGCCAUCCAACCAUCAAAAGGGUCCUACUGAUCACACCUUCAGGUUUUUUCUUCCAAGUAUUGUUCGUGCAGUCCUUAACUUGGAAAAUAUUAUUAGCUGUUUAACAUUAGGGUUUAAAUGAAUCAGUUAAGGCUGCAGCCUCGUAAGAAAGCGUCUGACUGUCUUUCUUCCCAAUCGUCAGUACUUGAGGAGACAGUCUAAACAGUUUAGUUUGGUAUAUUGAUGUUAUCUGAUCCUCUCUUUGAUGAGGAGUCCAAGUUCCAUUACUAUUCAGUAUCAUGUAUUUGGACAAACAGGUGCACUGUGGAUCUAAAAAUAUAGCCCCACAUACAUCAAGAGAAGAGCCGUCAAAGCUAAUUUACUCAUAAUCCUUAAACUUCACACACAAGCAUGCACACUAAAUAGUGUGCACAUCUUCACAUGGCAAUAAACAACCCAAAUCAUUAAAAUUCAGUUACUUUUGCUUGUUAAUGUUACACAAUCUACCAAAAAAAAAAAAAAAUGGAUGACCACUUUUAACUGUUACAACAAAAAAUAUUUGAGAUAUAUAACAACAAUUUCAUUACCGAUAAAAAAAAUAAAAAAAAAAAUCCUUAAAAUCAUGAAAAAUAGUUAAAUAUCAAACCAAGAGUUGUAGUAUGGUCAACAGGAGCCAACUGAGUUAGACAGAGUGUAAUCUUUUUGCAGUACAUAAGAGGGAAGUUAUUGAAUUGUAUUACUAAUAAAAUAAUAAGAAAAUAAGAAAAAAAUUCCUUAAAAUUCAGAUUUUUUCAUUUAAUAUCAAACCAAGAGUUGUAGUAUGACCAGCAGGAGUCAACUGAUGGCUCCAGUGAUUUUGGUAACACUACAAUGUAUAAGAGUGAAGUUAUUGAAUUUUAUUACCAAUAACAAUUCCUUAAAAUUCAGAUUUUCUAUUUAAUAUCAAACCAAGGGUUGUACUGUGACAGUCAGGAGACAACUGAUGGCAGCAGCGAGUUUGGUGACACUACAGUACAUAAGAGUGAAGUUAAUGAAUUUUAUUACCAAUAAAAAUUAUUUAAAAUUCAAAUUUUGUACUUAAUAUCAAACCAAGUGUUGUAGUAUGACCAGCAGAAGCCAAUUGAAGGCUCCAGUGAUUUUGGUGACACUAAAGUAAACAAGAGUGAAGUUAUUGAAUUUAUUAAAACAAUACUAAAAUAAUGAAAAUUUCUUAAAAUUCAGAUUUUGUAUUUAGUGUCAAACCAAGAGUUGUAGUAUGACCAGCAGGAGACAAUUGAUGGCUGCAGUAAAUUUGGUGACACUACAGUGUAUAAAAGUUAAGUAAUUGAAUAUUUGUCUCUCUUCGCUGUUGCAGCGGUUUUGCUAUUUGCAGACGGUCCCUGUUCACUCGUUGCACAGCCGGCUGCUCAUAGACAUCAGUGCUAUUUGUGCAACUUGAAAGACAGCGACUUUUGAUAAAACUGGCCUCGUAGCACAUUGUCUAGCUUACAGCGAUUUGAAAGAGGCAUUGUUUAUGUUUUUACAACGUAUAUCUCAUGAGUUAUUGAUGCCGGAAGUCCGAAUCUGUGAAUAUCUUGCCAACUUUACCUAACUCCCAUUCAUGCAUGAAUUAUGAUAACCUCUGUUAGGAUUUUUUUUUUUCCCCCAAUUGUUUUUAUUCAGGGCUGCACAGUGGCGUAGUGGUUAGCACUUUCGCCUUGCAGCGAGAAGAUCCCUGGUUCGCGUCCCGGCUUUCCCGGGAUCUUUCUGCAUGGAGUUUGCAUGUUCUCCCUGUGCAUGCGUGGGUUCUCUCCGGGUACUCCGGCUUCCUCCCACAGUCCAAAAAUAUGCUGAGGUUAAUUGAUUACUCUAAAUUGCCCGUAGGUGUGAAUGUGUGAGUGAUUGUUUGUCUAUAUAUGUAGCCCUGCGACAGACUGGCGACCUGUCCAGGGUGUCCCCUGCCUUCGCCCGAGUCAGCUGGGAUAGGCUCCAGCACCCCCCGCGACCCUAGUGAGGAAUAAGCGGUGUAUAGAUAAUGGAUGGAUGGAUGGAUGUUUUUAUUCAUCUUUAGGCGUGAAAAACAAGGUUUGAACUUUAUUUUAUUUCAACCCAUUUUUCUAAAAAAUAUAUUUACAUGUCCACUGAGAUGGCCACCAUGCAUUUUGCUCUAGAAAUAUGGAUUUAACAAACAAAUGGAUAAAAUGAUAUACAGUGGAUUGAACUGUGAAAUGUGAUGUGAACUAUAAAAUAAAAUAAUUGAUGCAUAAAUAAUUCAAACAGCAUUGAGGGAUUCACUCUCCUGUAUAGAUUCCCAAGUCUCUCAGAUGACAUAUUUUCAAGAACAGCAGCAGUAAUAGCCUAAUUGUGGUCAAUGAAUUGUAGCUGAAAUAUAGCUGGUGAUGCAUGAUGUGCACUUUAGUGGACAUGAGAUUAAUCAUAAUUGCCUCCCAAUAUAACAUCGAUACUCGGAAAAUUUUGCAAUUGCAUGACUCCUUAGAUGUUCCUCGAUGUCGCCAUAUUUUUCUUUCCUGCAAAGGUCUCUUUUUUUAUAGAAGGUUUGAACAAAAGAAAAUGAGCUACUUGGUGUUUCUGGCUGCCUGUCGGCCAUCUUGGUUUGACUCUUUUUCUUUUUUCUUUCUUUUUUUUUUUUUUUUUUUUUUUAAAGAAUUUGCAAUGGCUAGCCAAUCACUGGCAGUGGAAGAAAUGAUGCAAUAGGAUCCACUGUAGUGGCUGAUGUCCAACUAUGCCAUCAAAACUUAUGCACAUACAAGAAAACAGCUUUAGAAGAGCUGCACACUGUCAUGACCUCUAUGCAUGGAAGGGUUAAAGGCAUCAAUAAUGAACACAACACAAAUAAAUUGCUAUCUUAUUACAAUUCUGCAUAAUACACAGUGGAGAAUCACAGUGAUAUUGUAAUAAUUGAAGGUAUUUUUAAUUGUUACUGUAUUUUUGCUAUAUUUUUACUAUAUUUUACUGUGUUUUUCCUAUAUUUUUUACUGUAUUUUUACUAUGUUUUUACUGUAUUUGUACUAUAUUUUUUACUGUGUCUUUACUAUAUUUUUACUUUAUUUUUAUGAGAUUUUUUGCCAUAUUUUUUACUAUAUUUUUGGUGUGUUUUUACUAUAUAUUUUACAGUAAUUUACUGUAUUUUUUUAGUAUAUUUUUACUGUAUUUUUUACUGUAUCUUUACUGUAUUUUAUGAGUCUGCUGUCAUCUAAUCUCUCAUGUAAGAUCAUGUCACAGGAGGGGGCGCUACUGGCCUCUUGUGGACACAGGCGGUAACGACACGACAUUAUUAUAAACGGUAUAGCUGGCGACAUUACAGGUGAGCAGCACUUCCUGUUCAUCUUCAACGUAAAAGCAUCUUUCUUUAUUGUACAUUUUAUGUCAAAAGUAUUACUAAGCGAUUUUGGUCGAUUCAGAAGGAUCUCUGGUGUAAACCAAGUCGUAUUUGACGACAGCUAGCUUCUCCACUUGCUCCGAUUACUUUUGUUGUAGUCCGAGUCACGUCCAAACAGGAAAUGAAUCCACAACGUAGCUAAUGACAGUCUAUAGCUGCAUCUCCGUGAUGGCAGCGUUAACGAGCUAGCAGGUAAUCAGAAGCUAGUGACAAGCUAACUCCAGCGCUACAAGCAGCGUCUCUUUAAAAGGUGCUGAUCACGCUAUGAGGCUGAAACGUGAGACCUGGGACAGGAAAAGGAGCUAGAGCGCUGUAUCUUGCAGAGGAUUUAUUUUAGAACUACGCAUGUUAAGGUAUGAGUCCGUGUCAUAGCAAACCCUCGUUUGCACUUCCGCUAGCUCGGCUAACACUUCCGGUCACGAAUGCAUUUGUACAUUAGCUAUAACGUGUUCAUUUUUGAACGUAUAGUGACAACAAACACAAUUUGAGACUGUCGACAAGCUAGUGGCCCUUAAAUAGAUUUUGUUUCAUACUGCAGAUUCUUCUGAGUCUCACAAAACCACGUUUUAACCUAAGAGCAUUACGAUAGUUUUACGUUGAAACAGGAAGUGUUGCUCCACUGUAAUGUCGCUAGCUUUGCCUCAAAUAAUAAUAGUGUCGUUACCGCCUGUGUCCGCCAGAGAGCAGUAAUGUGUACAGUAAAGAUUUAGUGACUUUAGGGGUCAUUUUGAAUGUUUUUAUGGCUAUUUUUGCUUCAGUUUGUUCAUGUUUUGUCUCAUAUUGUUACUUUAGUGACUUUAGGGGUCCUUUUGCAUGUUUUUAUGGUUAUUUUUGCUUCAGUUUGUUCAUUUUGUGCCUCGUAUUGUUACUUUAGUGACUUUAGGGAUCAAUUUGCAUGUUUUUAUGGAUAUUUUUGAUUCAGUUUGUUCAUUUUUUGUCUCAUAUUAUUACUUUAGUGACUUUAGGGGUAAUUUUGCAUGUUUUUAUGGCUAUUUUUGAUUCAGUUUGUUCAUUUUUGGUCUCACAUUGUUACUUUAGUUACUUUAGGGGUCAUCUUGCAUGUUUUAAUGGCUAUUUUAUUAUUCAGUUUGUUCAUUUUUUGUCUCAUAUUAUUAUCAUAGCAGAGGCUCAUGGGUAACGUGGUUCUGAGGCAGCCAGGAGCAGAGGCUCAUGGGUAACGUGUCUCUGAGCCAGCCAGGAGCAGAGGCUCAUGGCUCAAAGUCGGGCCAGUGGACGGCAUUUGCAGAGACUAUGCGCCUGGGAAGAGCUUCAGCUUUCAGAUCAGAGGUGACCCGGGUGCAAAAGUCAGCCUGGUGGCUGUGGACAACGCUGUGUAUCUUCUCAACAAGGACAGACUCACACAGAGGAAGCCGUGCAGUGUCCAGGCAGUACCAGAAGGAGACGCUCUGCUGAACUGUUGAAGCGUAAAGCUCAGCUGGUUGCCUGCUAAUCUUGAUUUGGAAGUAGAGGCUCGAGGAAAUGGACAAGGAAUACUAGAGUACAGGGAAAGACAACCACGGGUUGUGACCUAUUACAAUCAGCUGCAUGAGGUGGAAGAGAAAAUGCCCUGCAAGCACUUUGAUCUCAACGUCACUUUUGAAGGAUCCAGCGGGCUCUAGGACCCAGAGACGUCAGGAUGGUGGUUCUUGAUAUCAGUCUACCAACUGGAUUCACCCCAGAAAACUCUGACCUGGAGAUGCUGUCCAAUUCAGUGCAUCGUUACAUCAGUAACUUCCAGAUUGUAGACAACCUGAGUGACAGAGGCUCCCUGAUCAUUCACCUGUUCAAAGUAACAUCACUGUAUUUAUAAUUAUUAUUCUAUAUCAUAUCAUUUUAUGUUAUUCAUAUGCUUUUCUUUUUUUCCAAGAAGCAGGUUUCUCAAUGCUCAGUAAAUAAGUCUUUAUGACCACAGUCAACAAUCUGAGGCAGUUUUAGGCUAUUACACAAAACCAGCUUAUUGGUACCAAAGCCACGGUUCAGAACUCAGACUUGCUAAAUCAGUGUUAGUGUAGUGCAGUGUAGGGCUGCAGCCAGAGUACUGAGGAUAGUUAGCAAGAGAGAUCAUAUUUCUCCUAUGCUGGUUUCUCUUCAUUGGCUUCCUGUGAAAUGUAGAAUAGAAUUCAAAAUCCUUCUUCUGACAUAUAAAGCUCUUAACAACCACUCUCCAUCAUAUCUUAAAGACCUGAUAGUACCAUAUUAUCCUAGCAGAACUCUUCGCUCUCAGACUGCAGGCUUACUUGGAGAAGUGACCUGUAACUUCUCUCUAAAAGUAGAAUGGGAGGCAGAGCCUUCAGUUAUUAGCUCCUCUCCUGUGGAACCAGCUCCCAGUUUGGGUUCUGGAGGCGGACACCCUCUCUAAUUUUAAGACCAGGCUUAAAACCUUCCUUUUUGACAAAUCUUAUAGUUAGGACUGACUGGGGGACCCUGAGGGGGUCAGCUGGAGUCUUCCUCUUGGACGUCCCUUAGUUCUGCCCCUAGUUCUGCUGCUAUAGGCCUAGGCUGCUGGAGGACCUCUCUGGAUGCACUGAGCCCUUCUCUAUCUACCAUUAUA